rnacentral:rRNA from 1 species
AGUGAACGCUGGCGGUAGGCCUAACACAUGCAAGUCGAACGGCAGCACAGUAAGAGCUUGCUCUUACGGGUGGCGAGUGGCGGACGGGUGAGGAAUACAUCGGAAUCUACUUUUUCGUGGGGGAUAACGUAGGGAAACUUACGCUAAUACCGCAUACGACCUACGGGUGAAAGCAGGGGAUCUUCGGACCUUGCGCGAAUGAAUGAGCCGAUGUCGGAUUAGCUAGUUGGCGGGGUAAAGGCCCACCAAGGCGACGAUCCGUAGCUGGUCUGAGAGGAUGAUCAGCCACACUGGAACUGAGACACGGUCCAGACUCCUACGGGAGGCAGCAGGGGGGAAUAUUGGACAAUGGGCGCAAGCCUGAUCCAGCCAUACCGCGUGGGUGAAGAAGGCCUUCGGGUUGUAAAGCCCUUUUGUUGGGAAAGAAAAGCAGCAGGUUAAUACCCCGCUGUUCUGACGGUACCCAAAGAAUAAGCACCGGCUAACUUCGU